UACGGAGGGAGCUAGCGUUGUUCGGAAUCACUGGGCUUAAAGCGUGUGUAGGCGGACGCCUAAGUGUCUUGUGAAAUCCCCCGGCUCACCCGGGGAACUGCUGGGCAUACUGGGCGUCUUGGGCCAACUAGGGGCAGCCGGAACAAGCGGUGGAGCGGUGAAAUGCGUAGAUAUCGCUUGGAACGCCGAAGGUGAAAACAGGCUGCUGGGGUUGCGCCGACGCUGAGACACGAAAGCCAGGGGAGCAAACGGG
rnacentral:rRNA from 1 species